GCAUACUCCAAAUACAAACAUACGUCAAAAUCAUACAAAUUGGUCCAGUGGUUCAAAAGAUAGAUCGUAGUCCUUUGUGACCAAAUGAAGCAUGGCUUUUCUGCCCAAAACCAGUUCCACAGAGUAUUCUAUCCUGGAGAUAAUUGGGAAGUAAUCCAAUUAUCUCCAAGGACAGAGGCAAAACUCAAUUGAACACAUGGCAGCAAAAGACAAUAAAAUACAUAAAAAUAUAUAACUGUGCAGCUAUUGCAUAAAACAGGUACAUUCAACAUAUUCCC
rnacentral:lncRNA from 1 species